UACGUAGGGUGCAAGCGUUGUCCGGAAUCAUUGGGCGUAAAGAGCGUGUAGGCGGCUCGGUAAGUCCGCUGUGAAAGUCCAGGGCUCAACCCUGGAAUGCCGGUGGAAACUGUCGAGCUAGAGUCCGGAAGAGGCGAGUGGAAUUCCUGGUGUAGCGGUGAAAUGCGCAGAUAUCAGGAGGAACACCAAUGGCGAAGGCAGCUCGCUGGGACGGUACUGACGCUGAGACGCGAAAGCAUGGGGAGCGAACAGG
rnacentral:rRNA from 1 species